AUACGUAGGGUGCGAGCGUUAAUCGGAAUCACUGGGCGUAAAGGACGCGUAGGCGGGUUGGCAAGUCAGAUGUGAAAUCCUACAGCUUAACUGUAGAACUGCAUUUGAAACUGCUAACCUAGAGUAUGGGAGGGGGAGAUGGAAUUAGUGGUGUAGGGGUAAAAUCCGUAGAUAUCACUAGGAAUACCGAAAGCGAAGGCGAUCUCCUGGAACAUAACUGACGCUAAGGCGUGAAAGCGGGGGGAGCAAACAGGAUUAGAAACCCUAGUAGUCC
rnacentral:rRNA from 1 species